rnacentral:rRNA from 1 species
CACGGGGUUGCGAGCGUUGUCCGGAAUUACUAGGCGUAAAGGGCAGGCAGGCGGAUCCAUAAGUUUAUCGUUUAAGGCGUCGGCUUAACCGGCGUAGGGCGGUAGAUACUGUGGAUCUGGAAUGCGGUUGGGGAAGACAGAAUUCCUGGUGUAGCGGUGGAAUGCGCAGAGAUCAGGAGGAAUACCGAAGGCGAAGGCAGUCUUCCAAGCCGUUAUUGACGCUCAACUGCGAAGGUGUGGGUAUCAAACAGGAUUAGAUACCCGGGUAGUCCCUGA